AGAUCGCAAUUUCCCCCACCCCCUUACCUCCCACGCAAGUAUACCCUCUCUCACCCUCCCCACCACCCACACGCCCCUCCCUACCACCCACCCGCCCCUCCCCCCUACACAGCUGCUCAAAAUCAACACCAAAAACCUACCCCUCGUCUACAUCUGGAUCAAACCAGAGCAAAUCAUCAGGGAAGCGGCGGAAAUUACCAGGGAUGCGGCGAAGAAAUCACCAGGCAACAACACCUCACCCUGGAAUAGAUAAUGGAUGCUAGCAGAGGAGAUAAUGCAGAAGAUGGAGGAGGAGGGAGAAUGCAUGAAGAGGACGAUGCAUCACGCACAGCAAGCAACAAUUCUGCAUACCCGAACAUCAUGGAAACAGGUGCUCGGGCAAUCAGCGCAAACAACAGCUUGCCCAGUGGUGAAACAAAUGCACAUAGUGCUGGAACAAAUGCAAGCACAGGAGCUGGGAGCCUUGGAGAGCAGACAACAAGCGAACCAGCAACUCCAGAAUCUGCUAGGAUUGACGCUGAUAUGUAAGGCAACAACAUGGAGGCAUAUUCCACACCUAAGCCACCUUUACAAGGGACAAAAUUUGACAUCCUGGAGAGCGCACGUGACCAUUACAACACCUACGCGCGCAGGACUGGCUUUGCAAUUAGGCAGCAAUUCAAGAAAGAGAGGGUUGAUGGAACUAUAAGCAGGGUGCUCCUGGUUUGUAAAAAAUAUGGCAAACGAACGCAAGGACAGUGAUGAUAUGCAAGAUGUGGAAAACCCAUCAAGCAUUGUCAAGAAGAGGAAAAAAAGAAAGUUGUUAGGACUGAAUGUGAAGCGCACAUGUACCUAUCCCACGAUGAUGCAUGGUGGACUGUUGACCGUUUCGAGGACAACCACAAUCACCCCCUGAUCAAAAAGCCAUCCCUAACAAAAUUCUUAUCAUCACAUCGGUACAUUCUGAAGGAGGAGCAUGACUUCUUGAGGGUUCUGCACGGAUGCAACGUUGAGACUGCGAGGCAGAUGCAGCUGAAAUCAUGGUUCUACGCAAGCGCUCAAGACGUACCCUACAUGACACAAGACAUUGCUAAUCAACGAGCUAAGUUCCUCUUAGAGCACC